AAUGGUCACUGCUUUGGGCCCAACCCCAACCAGUGCUGCCAUGAUGAGUGUGCCGGGGGCUGCUCAGGCCCUCAGGACACAGACUGCUUUGUAUGUACCCUUUCCAUUGCCUGGGUUCUGAAAUUGGGAUGUGGCCUUUGAGGAGGAGGUAGGGGUACACACGUAACAUAAAUCUGAUGAGCCUCCUUUUUUCCCAGGCCUGCCGGCACUUCAAUGACAGUGGAGCCUGUGUACCUCGCUGUCCACAGCCUCUUGUCUACAACAAGCUAACUUUCCAGCUGGAACCCAAUCCCCACACCAAGUAUCAGUAUGGAGGAGUUUGUGUAGCCAGCUGUCCCCAUAACUUUGUGGUGGAUCAAACAUCCUGUGUCAGGGCCUGUCCUCCUGACAAGAUGGAAGUAGAUAAAAAUGGGCUCAAGAUGUGUGAGCCUUGUGGGGGACUAUGUCCCAAAGCCUGUGAGGGAACAGGCUCUGGGAGCCGCUUCCAGACUGUGGACUCGAGCAACAUUGAUGGAUUUGUGAACUGCACCAAGAUCCUGGGCAACCUGGACUUUCUGAUCACCGGCCUCAAUGG
rnacentral:sRNA from 1 species